rnacentral:rRNA from 1 species
UACGCAAGAGGCUACCGUUGCUCGGAAUGACUGGGCGUAAAGGGCGCGUAGGCGGCUUACAUAGUUAGGCGUGAAAUUCCUGGGCUCAACCUGGGGACUGCGUCUAAUGCAUGUAGGCUUGAGUGUGAAAGAGGGUCGUGGAAUUUCCAGUGUAGAGGUGAAAUUCGUAGAUAUUGGAAAGAACACCGGUGGCGAAGGCGGCGACCUGGUUCAUUACUGGCGCUGAGGCGCGAAAGCGUGGGGAGCAGACAGG